rfam:Danio rerio chromosome 2, GRCz11 reference primary assembly.
GUCUCUGUGGCGCAAUCGGUUAGCGCGUUAGGCUGUUAACUGAAAGGUUGGUGGUUCAAGCCCACCCAGGGACA